GACGAACGCUGGCGGCGUGCUUAACACAUGCAAGUCGAACGGAAAGGCCCUGCUUUUGUGGGGUGCUCGAGUGGCGAACGGGUGAGUAACACGUGAGUAACCUGCCCUUGACUUUGGGAUAAUUUCAGAAAACUGGGGUUAAUCCGGGCAAGGAUUUCUCGCGGCUGGGUGGGGGUUGGAAGGUUUCGCCGGUUGGGGAUGGACUCGCGGCUUAUAAGCUUGUUGUGGGGGUAGUGGCUUACCAAGGCUUUGACGGGUAGCAGGCCUGAGAGGGGGACCGGCCACAUUGGGACUGAGAUACGGCCCAGACUCCUACGGGAGGCAGCGGUGGGGAAUAUUGCACAAUGGGCGGAAGCCUGAUGCAGCAACGCAGCGUGCGGGAUGACGGCCUUCGGGUUGUAAACCGCUUUCGCCUGUGACGAAGCGUGAGUGACGGUAAUGGGUAAAGAAGCACCGGCUAACUACGUG
rnacentral:rRNA from 1 species